rnacentral:rRNA from 1 species
CCUACGGGAGGCAGCAGUGAGGAAUAUUGGUCAAUGGGCGCGAGCCUGAACCAGCCAAGUCGCGUGAGGGAGGACGGCCCUACGGGUUGUAAACCUCUUUUGCCGGGGAGCAACGGGCGCCACGUGUGGCGUCACUGAGAGUACCCGGAGAAAAAGCACCGGUCAACUCCGGUCCAGCAGCCGAGGUAAUAAGGAGGAUGCGACCGUGAUCCGGUUUUAUUGGGUUUAAAGGGUGCGCAGGCGGAUCGUUAAGUCAGUGGUAAAAUUGAGGGGUCCAACCCCUUCCCGCCAUUGAAACUGGCGUUCUUGAGUGGAAGAGAAGUAUGCGGAAUGCGUG